CCUGCGGAAGGAUCAUUACCGAGUUCAUGCCCUUCGGGGUAGAUCUCCCACCCUUUGUAUACCAUACCUCUGUUGCUUUGGCGGGCCGCCUAGCUACUGGCUUCGGCUGGUAAGUGCCCGCCAGAGGACCCAAAACCCCUGAAUAUUAGCGUCGUCUGAGUAAAAAGUUUAAUAUUUAAAACUUUCAACAACGGAUCUCUUGGCUCUGGCAUCGAUGAAGAACGCAGCGAAAUGCGAUAAGUAAUGUGAAUUGCAGAAUUCAGUGAAUCAUCGAAUCUUUGAACGCACAUUGCGCCCCUUGGUAUUCCGAGGGGCAUGCCUAUUCGAGCGUCAUUAUCACCCCUCAAGCCUAGCUUGGUGUUGAGACCUGCUGUCAAGGCAGUCUCUAAAAUCAGUGGCAGUGCUGUCAGGCUCUAAGCGUAGUAAAUUCAUCGCUAUAGGGUCCUGCUGGAUACUCGCCAGAACCCCCCCAUUUUUUUAAUGAUUGACCUCGGAUUAGGUAGGGAUACCCGCUGAACUUAAGCAUAUCAAUAGCGG
rnacentral:rRNA from 1 species